UCGAUGAUUCAUCGAAGCACCUAAAGUAUGUUCUGCUUGCGUCGGCGCCUCUCCGACUCCCUUGCGCAGUGGGCCGGUGCCAAUCCCUCCCCCCUCGUGGCGGCUGGCACAGAUCGAUCUCCUUUCCUGUCCUUCGUUUCCUCUCUUUGCUCCCUACUCCCUCUCAGCCAUAGCGACGGUGGCCGCGGCAAUAAUGGCCAAGGCAGCCACAGCGACAGCGGCCGUGGCGGCGAUGGCCAAGGCGGCCAUAGCGGUGACGGCUCCGCAGCAGCUAAGACGGCCAAGGCGCGCGGGCGGCGACGACGCUGGUGGGCGAUGGAUCCGGUGUUGGGAGGCGCGUGGGUGACGGCGAGGCUAGGGGGCGGUGGGGGAGGUUCGAGGGUAGUGGCGAGCAUGGUGGGUGGUGGAUCCGGCGUUGGGAAGCAUGCCAGCGGCGGUGAGGCAGUGGGCAGCCGAUCCGGCUGCUAAGUUCAAGGCUUCUAGUGGCCGACUUCCGAGCAUAAUCCCUCUGCCUCCUGAAGCUGUCACCGCCGCCUGCUUCCUCGACAUCCCUGCCAAAUCGGAGCCCGGUUGCCUCCUCACUAAAGCGCUGAGCUUCCACCGUCCGCCGAAGCCGUGCACUCCCGCUUGGAGCUCACAACUGCAAGUCAAAGUCACCUCCGCAAAAUCAGGUUAGAUCCGAUUGAUUUUUGUAGCAAUCCCGUGGAAGUAUUUAUGGGGUUGGUUUUAUCUGUUCGAGUCCAAAUCGAAUAUGCAUUGGAUUAGAGUUCUCCUGUGGAUCUCUUUUCUGAUUCUAUUUGGGUGGAUUAGAGUCUGAUUUGAAUUCACAAGUUCUCCUUUUAGUUAGAAUUUCAAUUUCGAAUUGGGAAUUUGAAAUUUUGGAACAACCUAGCUGUGGGAAUUUUGUUUUUUCCUUGUGGUGUGUGCAUCCGAUUUUGUUGCGCUGAUUUUGGGAAGUGUUUCCAUGUAUCCGAUUCUGAUGAUUUAGUGAUUUUUCUAAGGUGCACUGAGGGAUGAAAGCGGCCUUUCCCGCAAAUCGGAAAUCGAAUGCACUCGUACGGAUAGAUGAAAAAUUAGUGCGAUGACGGACGAAAACACGGACAAAAACACACCAAUUAAAAUAUUUUUAUAUAAUUAUUUUUUAUUUUAGUUAAACUUUAUUUUAUAAUUUAAUGAGGAGGAUUUCUUUGUAUUUUAGCCAUGCUCUUAUUAUAUUGGGUUAAUUGGAUCCAUGCCACUACAACUUUGCCAAAUUAAGAAAAAAAAAUGCAACUACUAUUCGUCAUAUCUGCUGUAUGCCACUGGAAAUUUUAAUUUGCCAAAGUUGCAGUGGUAUGAUCCAAUUAACCCUAUAAUAUUUUAGUCCUUAUAUUUUCUCAAUUAUUAUUUUUCUCAAAAUAGUAAUUAUUAUAUUUUAGUAACCUUAGAUAAAAAUAAUAUAAUUGCAAAUGCAACUUUGUUGGCCCAUUUCUCAGCCUCUCUACAUUGUCUGCAUUAUUUUCCACUUAAUUGUUCCCUCUCUCUCCUCAUUAGUUUUUCCCCUUUCUUUCCCACUUCCACCGACGAGCGAACGAGUUCUCCAGGGACCUCAUCAUCUGCUUGCGGGGAGAAUUUUCAGAAUAUAACACUCAAUACACACUGCUUUCAAUAUUUGUCACUCAAUUCACACUACUUUCAGAAUACACCACUAGAGUGUGAAUUUUCUUCGUUCCGUGACACUCCGUCAUCCCAAAACCGCGCGUCGUCAGUUCAUUCCUCUCGCCCCGUUUGCCCUCACCGCCGGCGAGCUCGUCCUCCCCCACGCCGGCGAGCUUGUCCUCCCCACACCAGCGCCUGCGCUGCUGGGCGGGACCAUCCACACGGUCGCCGGUGACAUCGCCUGCUUGCCGCCGUGCCGGAUAUUGAGAUCGAGCCGCCACUGUUGGCUUGGAGGAGGGGGUCGGCGACGAUGGGGGUAGCGCGGGGGGAGGAGCCGUGGCCAGCGCCUCCACCGGGCCGCCGACAGCCGCGCGCGUCGGCUGUAGCUUGCGGCGCCGCUUCGCGGUGGGCUCGUCGCCGCGGGCAGCCGCCGCGACGGCGGAGGGCGACUCGAUGGGGAUGCGGAGGACGCCGUCGACGGUGGCUUGGAGGAGGUCAGCCGCCGGAGCUCGACCACCGGAGCGACGGCGGCUCGGUUCGCUCGUGUCAUCCCCGAGCUCAGCCGCCGUCGCCAGUCCAACCUCCGCCACCGCGGCCUCGAGCUGGUAUAGAGCUCAGUCGCCGGAGCUCGACGCCGACGGGCGGCGGUGGGGCUGACGCGGGCGACGGAGGGGCUGACGCGGGCGGCGGCGCGGCUAACACGGGCGCGAGCGGUGGCUGACUGAUGACGGCGACGUCGGGAGGAUGGAGAACGACGGCGCGACUGACGGUAGGGGAUGGAAUAGCACGGAACAAAGAAAAUUUGCACUCUAGUGUUGUAUUUUGAAAGUAGUGCGAAUUAGGUGACAAAUCCUGAAAGCAGUGCGUAUUGGGUGUUAUAUUCUGAAAAUUCUCGCUUGCGGGGGUUGGACCCUGGAGCCUGGAGUCGAAGAGCUUGCCGCCGGUAGAAUCCAUGGUGCGGAUUCGCGCCAGCGUGGACCGGCCAGGUCCGUGGCCGCGCAGAUCGAGCUUGCAUGGGCUGGCUAGCUCCCUGGUAGGUCCCUGUCCUCCUCUCCUCGCUCUGCUCUCUCUUCCUCCAUCCCGGCAUGGAUUGGGCGCAGGUGACGCGGAUCAACGCAGCCGCUCCCGGCCAGCAUCAACCUCACUUGAAAGAAGCAGAGCGAUUUUCCACCUUGGCUGGAUCAGAUACUAUUUGUCUUCGAUUCUGUGAGUUUAUAUUUGAUUUUCUGUCUUUUCUUCAACUCGAUUUUGUUAAAGUAUAUCUCUGUGUAAUCCGUGUGCUUUGGAUUAGGAUGGCCGGUGGAUUAAGCUAUAGAUUAGCUUAGGUUGUUGUGAUCACAUGUAAUAAGGAUCCGGCCGUUCUAUCCAUAGCGCAUGCCUAUUUGUAUCUUCUCCAUCGCCGUUUUGUGCGAUAGGUUAACACGCAUCGUCGACCCGAGUGCAAAGGACGACGUUCCCAUCCAUCCUGUUUUCCCACAUGGUAUCAGAGCGCUGAAGUUAGAUCCCAUCUACCAUGGCUAGCUCCUCCUCUUCCACCUCCACAAAUUCCUUGUUCUGCUUCAAUGUUUCUGAGAAGUUGAGCAAGCAAAAUUAUCAGCUGUGGUGCGCACAAGUGCUGACUGCGAUUCGUGGGGCACGCCUCAAGGGGCAUCUGAAAGGCAAGACCGUCACUCCCGCCGCCCACAUCGAAGCAGAAAAGAAAGAAGAUGACAAGACGAAGAUCAAGAUCAUGAUCGACAACCCAGCGUACGAAAGAGUGGUUUGCCGCGGAUCAACAGGUUCUCGGCUUCCUCUUUUCAUCGCUGUCACGGAAUAUAUUAUCCCAGGUUGCCACGGCGACCACAGCGACAGAUGCCUGGAAGAUGAUCCAGGAGAUGUUCAACUCCAGGGCGACUCGCGCGCGCUCCCUCAACGUGCUGCUAUCUCUCACCAGCACUAGGAAGGGAACCCAGACCAUCUCAGAGUACUUCGCCAAGAUGAAGGCCUUAGCAGAUGAACUAGCGAUGUCAGGGAAGCAAGUCGAUGCCGAAGAACUCACUGCUUUUAUCUUAAAUGGUUUAGAUGAUGAUUAUGAUUCUGUUGUAUCGGCUUUAGCGGCCAAAACUAAACCUAUUACUCUAUCAGAAACAUAUGCCCAGCUAUUGAACUUUGAGAACAGGCUUAAUCUACGACGAGAAGGCAACAUGACGGCCAAUGUAGCCGGGCGCGGCCGUGGCAACGCUCCGAGCAACCGGGGUGGUGCCGGCCGUGGACGUGGUGGUCGCGGCGGCUUCAAUGGUGCUGGCACAAACGCCGGCUGUGGAGGACGUGGCGCUGGACAGCAGCAGCGCUCCGGCAACGACACACGACCCGUGUGUCUGGUGUGCUACAAGCGGGGACAUGUUGCAGCAGAUUGCUGGCAUAGGUAUGAUGAUUCUUAUGUGCCAGAUGAGCGACACCUUGCUGCAGCAGCCUCCUACGCCUAUUUUUUUUAGAUAAGUCACCGGAGGGGAGAGGUUCCCCACCUGAAUUGCAUUAAAUAAAUAGAGUAAGGGUUACAACUGAGUUUACAUGACAUGAAGAGAUUGCAAGGGGGAGGAGAAGAUCCCUUUCCAAAUUGAAACUACAACUCUAUCAGGAGGCUUAAGACGUUCAGACCAGAGAGAACAUUCGUCCACACAUUUCCUAAUUGCUGCCGGAACUGAAGCAUCCAGGUUGCGGAAAACAACGUCGUGUCUGUGGUUCCAUAGUGCCCAUAAGCAGAGAAGAUAGAAGACAUGGUGGUGCAGCUCGGGCAGGUUUCCAUUGGGGCGCAGACGUCCGAGUUGACGAACAUCCUGAAUAAGCGGGUCAAUGCCGAUCGUCGUCCAGAAUUGCUGGGCAAAGGGGCAAAGGAAGCAGAUGUGACUUGCAAUUUCAGAUGCAGCUCCACAAAUGGAGUCGACUCCAAUCGGUACAUGGUCUCAGGCGCCACGGACCACAUCACCGGUGAACUGGACAAGCUCACGGUUAGCGACAAGUACAAGGCGAACGAUCAAGUGCACACUGCCAAUGGAGCAGGCUACGAGGGCAACAAUGCUUGAGGGACGGCGAUACAAGGGACUCUACCCGCUUCCUCCUUCAUCUCCUGCAUCCUCUCCAAAGGCUGUUUACGGUGUGGCGCCAUCUUUUGCAAGAUGGCAUAGUCGGCUAGGUCAUCCUUCAAGUCCUAUAGCGUCUAAAGUUAUUAGCACAAAUAAUCUACCUUGUCAUGACAAGGCUAGUAAAGAGUCUGUGUGUGAUGUGUGUCAGAUGGCCAAGAGUCAUCAACUUCCUUACAAUAGAUCUACUAGUGUUUCUCAAUUUCCUUUGGAACUCAUUUCCUCAGAUGUCUACGGACCUGCUCCUAUUUCUGUUGGUAGACAUAAAUAUUAUGUGAGUUUUGUGGAUGAUUAUAGUAAGUUUACCUGGGUUUACCUUCUUAAAGCAAAAUCAGAUUUUUUCAGGUCUUC